rnacentral:lncRNA from 1 species
UCAGUCAGAGAGUUCAUGCUAAGCUGUGGAGUGGGAGGGAGUAGCUGAGAGAGGUGGGUUUGAAGGAGGCAUCUGGAAGGAGAAAUUGAGGUUAGAGGCUGGUGAAAGUUCUUGGUCCACUCCCCCCAUUCCUUUUCCUUGUAGCUUCUGAGGACCAAAGCACAGGGUUAUAUAUUGUUUGCUGAUACAGUCCAAGCAGUCCUUGUACAGAAGUCUUCUGUUAAGGCGAGGCCUCACUCAGCAGAAAGGUUUGGGUUUAGAAAGUCAGAAGCAGUAUCCCAUAGGCCUGAAGCCUCAGAUGUUCUAGAGGCCAAAGACAUCUCCCUGGGAUGAAUGGAAUGUGGCCUUUUGGGGUUUCCACUUUCUAACACAUGGAGUUCACAAUGGCUGCAAAUCUGAAUCCUUGCCUUCUGUCUUUCCUCUCUUAUAUGUAGAAAUGAAACAGUUCCAAAGAUUCUGGACUCAUCUGUGUGGCCUUGAAACCAUCUAUCAUGAAACCAUGACAACAGAUAACUGAAGCUGGCAUGGCAAGAAGCUAAUGGUCAGGGCUGCUCUCAUGCAAAGAUUGACCACGGAUUGAGAAGCCCACUGGAGAAGGUCUCCAUUUUCCAUCAUAGUCCUAAAACAAGAGGAGAGAGCACACACUGUGUCACCUCCCUAUUUGAAGACUGUGUCUCUCUGAGAGGGGUGAUGGUUCAUCACCCAGAGCAUUAUAUGGCUUCCAAGAA